rnacentral:rRNA from 1 species
AUGCCGCGUGCAGGAUGAAGGCCUUCUGGGUUGUAAACUGCUUUAUCUGGGAAGAAACACCCAUGCGUGGGAAACUGACGGUACCAGAUGAAUAAGCACCGGCUAACUCCGUGCCAGCAGCCGCGGUAAUACGGAGGGUGCAAGCGUUGUCCGGAUUUAUUGGGUUUAAAGGGUGCGUAGGCGGCCCGUUAAGUCCGUGGUGAAAGCCUCCAGCUCAACUGGAGAACUGCCAUGGAUACUGGCGGGCUUGAGUACAGACGAGGUUGGCGGAAUUGAUUGUGUAGCGGUGAAAUGCAUAGAUACAAUCAAGAACCCCGAUUGCGUAGGCAGCUAACUAGGCUGUAACUGACGCUGAGGCACGAAAGCGUGGGGAGCGAACAGGAUUAGAUACCCUGGUAGUCCACGCUGUAAACGAUGAUUACUCGAUGUUGGCGAUAAACUGUCAGCGUCUUAGCGAAAGCGUUAAGUAAUCCACCUGGGGAGUACGCCCGCAAGGGUG